CUUAAUUGCAGCAACAGAAAAUUCAUUAAAAAAAAAAGGAAAUUUUUGUUACAGGUGAAAUUAGACUUAAACCAGAUGUAAUAGUUUGCUUAACUACAUCAGUGACAUCUAUUUCUAUAAAGGUACUUUUGUUUAUAGGCAAUUUCUUUACAAGGUAUCCAAACACUGGAAAUAUUUUAUCACAUUUUGAAAGAAUUCAGAUUUUCUUCUUUCAGACCAUUCUUCGAUAAGUUAGCAACAAAAGC